ensembl:lncRNA
GUCCAUUAAAAAUACUGAAUAGAAGGUAUUAUCAUAGUGUGUUUCUUUGAGACACUAUUUUUGAAGAUGUGUCCUAGAGUAUUAAAAUGCUUGUUUGUGUAAAGGUUGAAAUUUUGUGAUCCUGAUCCAGUAAAAAUAUUUAAUUAGCUUAUGGCAGUGAUAUGAUUUCUAUAGAGACUAUAUAACACUCUAAUUAACUAGAUUCUUUUAUUUAGGCAGCAAAAAGUCCCAGGCCAGAGAAAGCUUGACGAGUGACAAAAUGAAGGCAUUUUAUGAAUCAGCUCAAAUGAGAGACAGUGGGUCACUAUUUACAUAUGACAACUAGGAAAAAAAUUGUUGUAUCAAAGAUCUGAAACACGGUUUUUGCAAUAUCUAUGCCAAACUUCAAAGAAAUAUGAGAGACAAGCAUAAUGAAGGUCAUGGAGCCUCUACAAGGUCCUGAUAUAUGAGACUCAGUACAAUCUGAAUGUUAGCUCUGGAUCCCUGGCAAUCCAUUGAGAUAUGGAGUGCUUUCUUGAAGGGGAAUCUGAGCAGCAUGUCUCCAUGUCUGCUACAGGCUAAAGGCAGAUCUUGUUUUGGCUGUUUACUGUGCCAUUCUUACAUCAGUUAGGUCCCAGAGAUAUAGCUAUAAAUCUCUGCAUAGAGAUAUAGUAAAG